ACCCUUACACAAUAAAAGGAUCUUUGCCCCUGUGAUUAGGUGAAGGGUCUUAAGGUAAAGAAAUGAUCCUCGGUCAUGUGGUGGGUCCAUGACAUUCCUGAUGAGGGACAGGAGGAAGACAACAUGGAGAGAAUAAAGGCAGAGAUGGCCCUGGUCACAGAGAUCAUAGAAACGCAGGCAGAAGCCAAGGACCUGUAUAACCCCUAGGACUUCAAGCUGGUCCCAAAGCUGGGGUUCAAACCCAGGGCUUUGCAAAUGCUAAGCAAGCAGUCUUCCGCUGGGACACAACCAAAGCCCGAAUCGAUGUGGCUUGAAGCCACCAAGUUCUUAGCCUGUCACAGCAGCAAGAAGAAACUCAUACAGCUCUUUUUCCUUGGGAGCUGCCAGCCUCACCAGUGGCCCGGUGAACCACCAGGAUCCAUGCCGGGUCUUGUCCACUGUCAUUGCUUAGCAGAGAACUAAAUGGCUUGUGGGGCCUGGUAGGAAAUAAAAAUGGGAAGCCCCUUAUUCAAAACAUA